rnacentral:rRNA from 1 species
UAGCUUUAAGAUUUGUAUUUAAAGUUUUACCUGCCCAGUGGAAUUCUUAACGGCCGCAGUACUUUGACUGUGCUAAGGUAGCAUAAUAAAUUGGCUUUUAAUUAAAGUCGGGUAUGAAAGGGGUUUCGGAAAGUAGCUGUCUUAAGAUAUUUAUUUUUAAUUUAAUAAUUGAGUGAAAAUUCUCAUACUUUUAUACAUUAGACGAGAAGACCCUAAGAGUUAUAAUUAAGAUGAAUUUAUUUUUCAUAUAUCAUUUUUGUUGGGGCAACAAAGACUGGAUAUAAACCGUCAUAUUUAAAUUUUACACAACAGUAGUAUUUAAAAAGAAAUAAACUACCUUAGGGAUAACAGCAUAAUUAAUUUUUAGAUUGUGACCUCGAUGUUGGAUUAGGGACUUAAUUUACUAGCCGUAAAUUAAGAUAGUUCUGUUCGAACUGUGAUACCCU